AAAUAUCAGCCAAAGUUUACUUGAAAACGAGCCUGGGUUUUGCUCAAAUAAGCUAAUGAACCUUUGUGAACUUCCAAGACUGGGCUGAAUUUCAACUUUGGAACAACACUUGAAGCCAGCUCUUCUGAACAUUGUGAGCUUCUCCAAUGCUUAGAGCUUCUCAAAACCAUCUCUUCAACAUUUUUCCAUUUUUUCCACAAUAGCUAUAAAAAAACAAAAGAUUCUCCUGGGAU